rnacentral:rRNA from 1 species
GACGAACGCUGGCGGCGUGCUUAACACAUGCAAGUCGAACGGAAAGGCCCUGCUUUUGUGGGGUGCUCGAGUGGCGAACGGGUGAGUAACACGUGAGUAACCUGCCCUUGACUUUGGGAUAACUUCAGGAAACUGGGGCUAAUACCGGAUAGGAGCUCCUGCUGCAUGGUGGGGGUUGGAAAGUUUCGGCGGUUGGGGAUGGACUCGCGGCUUAUCAGCUUGUUGGUGGGGUAGUGGCUUACCAAGGCUUUGACGGGUAGCCGGCCUGAGAGGGUGACCGGCCACAUUGGGACUGAGAUACGGCCCAGACUCCUACGGGAGGCAGCAGUGGGGAAUAUUGCACAAUGGGCGGAAGCCUGAUGCAGCAACGCCGCGUGCGGGAUGACGGCCUUCGGGCUGUAAACCGCUUUCGCCUGUGACGAAGCGCGAGUGACGGUAAUGGGUAAAGAAGCACCGGCUAACUACGUG